rnacentral:rRNA from 1 species
CCUACGGGAGGCAGCAGUGAGGAAUAUUGGUCAAUGGGCGUAAGCCUGAACCAGCCAAGUCGCGUGAGGGAUGAAGGUUCUAUGGAUCGUAAACCUCUUUUAUGAGGGAAUAAAGUGUGGGACGUGUCCUAUUUUGUAUGUACCUUAUGAAUAAGGAUCGGCUAACUCCGUGCCAGCAGCCGCGGUAAUACGGAGGAUCCGAGCGUUAUCCGGAUUUAUUGGGUUUAAAGGGUGCGUAGGCGGCCUUUUACGUCAGCGGUGAAAGUCGGUGGCUCAACCAUAGAAUUGCCGUUGAAACUGGGGGGCUUGAGUAUGUGUGAGGCAGGCGGAAUGCGUGGUGUAGCGGUGAAAUGCGUAGAUAUCACGAAGAACACCGAUGGCGAAGGCAGCCUGCCAAGCCAUGACUGACGCUGAUGCACGAAAGCGUGGGGAUCAAACAGGAUUAGAUACCCCUGUAGUC